rnacentral:rRNA from 1 species
GCAGUCGAGCGGUAGAGAGAAGCUUGCUUCUCUUGAGAGCGGCGGACGGGUGAGUAAUGCCUAGGAAUCUGCCUGGUAGUGGGGGAUAACGUCCGGAAACGGACGCUAAUACCGCAUACGUCCUACGGGAGAAAGCAGGGGACCUUCGGGCCUUGCGCUAUCAGAUGAGCCUAGGUCGGAUUAGCUAGUUGGUGGGGUAAUGGCUCACCAAGGCGACGAUCCGUAACUGGUCUGAGAGGAUGAUCAGUCACACUGGAACUGAGACACGGUCCAGACUCCUACGGGAGGCAGCAGUGGGGAAUAUUGGACAAUGGGCGAAAGCCUGAUCCAGCCAUGCCGCGUGUGUGAAGAAGGUCUUCGGAUUGUAAAGCACUUUAAGUUGGGAGGAAGGGCAGUAAAUUAAUACUUUGCUGUUUUGACGUUACCGACAGAAUAAGCACCGGCUAACUCUGUGCCAGCAGCCGCGGUAAUACAGAGGGUGCAAGCGUUAAUCGGAAUUACUGGGCGUAAAGCGCGCGUAGGUGGUUCGUUAAGUUGGAUGUGAAAUCCCCGGGCUCAACCUGGGAACUGCAUUCAAAACUGACGAGCUAGAGUAUGGUAGAGGGUGGUGGAAUUUCCUGUGUAGCGGUGAAAUGCGUAGAUAUAGGAAG